UACGAGUGCCCCAAGCGUUAUCCGGAAUCAUUGGGCGUAAAGGGUGUGUAGGUGGUUUGGUUAGUCUUCUGUGAAAUUCUUCGGCUCAACCGGGGGCUCGCAGGGGAAACGGCCAAACUUGAGGAUGUGAGAGGUGAAUGGAACUCUAGGUGUAGGGGUGAAAUCCGUUGAUAUCUAGGGGAACACCAAAAGCGAAGGCAAUUCACUGGCACAUUCCUGACACUAAAACACGAAAGCGUGGGUAGCGAAUGGG
rnacentral:rRNA from 1 species